GGUCCGCUGGCUCAAUGGCAGAGCGUCUGACUACGAGAUUAUUAGGGUUGCACUAAAAGGCAUCUUGAUGUCAGUUAUCAGGAGGUUCCAGGUUCGACCCCUGGGUGGAUCG